rnacentral:rRNA from 1 species
UAGGGAAUCUUCCGCAAUGGACGAAAGUCUGACGGAGCAACGCCGCGUGAGUGAUGAAGGUUUUCGGAUCGUAAAGCUCUGUUGUCAGGGAAGAACAAGUACCGUUCGAAUAGGGCGGUACCUUGACGGUACCUAACCAGAAAGCCACGGCUAACUACGUGCCAGCAGCCGCGGUAAUACGUAGGUGGCAAGCGUUGUCCGGAAUUAUUGGGCGUAAAGGGCUCGCAGGCGGUUUCUUAAGUCUGAUGUGAAAGCCCCCGGCUCAACCGGGGAGGGUCAUUGGAAACUGGGGAACUUGAGUGCAGAAGAGGAUGGGGGAAUUCCCGGUGUAGAGGUGAAAUUCGUAGAGAUCGGGAGGAAUAUCAGUGGCGAAGGCGGCCAUCUGGACGGUAACUGACGCUGAGACGCGAAAGCGUGGGGAGCAAACA